UACAGAGGGGGCAAGCGUUGUUCGGAAUUACUGGGCGUAAAGGCGCGUAGGCGGCCAACUAAGUCGGACGUGAAAUCCCCAGGCUCAACCCUGGGAACUGCGUCCGAUACUGGAUGGCUCGAAUCCGGGGAGAGGGAUGUGGAAUUCCAGGUGUAGCGGUGAAAUGCGUAGAUAUCCGGAGGAACACCGGUGGCGAAGGCGGCUUCCUGGACCGACACUGACGCUGAGGCGCGAAAGCUAGGGGAGCAAACGGG
rnacentral:rRNA from 1 species